UGUUCGUGUGUGGGGGAGGGUGAAAGAUGGAUAGCAUUCCAACAAAUCAAUUUUAUAUGGUAGAUUGAAAAGCUUGAGAUGCCUUUCUUCUAGGGCUUUCUUCCUUUUCUUCCAUACCCAUUGAAAGGCUCAAUACAUCCAUCAUCUGCUAUAUAUAUAUAUAUAUAUAUACACACUCACACACCCCUCUUUCUUCAUCUUCAUCUUCAUCUUCUGGUUUUAGGGUUUUGUGGCAUAGAAGGAUGAGUGAUCCCAAGUAUGGCUAUCCCUACCCAGCUCAAGGGUAUUAUCAAGGGCCCCCAGUGAUGGCACCUCCCCAGUAUGUUGCUCCUCCCCCACCUCCAAGAAGAGAGCCUGGUUUUCUUGAAGGAUGCCUUGCAGCCUUGUGUUGCUGCUGCCUCCUGGAUGAAUGCUGCUGUGACCCCUCAGUCUUCUGUGUGUUCUAGCUGCUCAUUCCGCCCAUUUUAGUGUUUUUAUUUCUUUCUUUUUUUUUGUUGGUUAGUUGACACAUUGUCUGUGUUUAACGACUUCUUCCCUUCUAAACUGAUAUAUGUUUGUAUCAAUAAAUUAAAUUGAAUUAUGAUAUUUAAAUUAUUUUGUC